ACGGGUGCGUCGAGUCGUUAGCUCAGUUGCUGCAAGAAGACCGACCCAUCCUGGCUCGGGCUUCUGUCACUUGCUUCGACGAGACACCAUUGCAUGUGGCCUGCAUGCUCGGUCAUGUACCUUUUGCCAAGGCUCUUUUGGCUCAUAAAAGGGAUUUGGCUAUGGAGUUGGACUCGCAGGGACGUACGCCUCUUCACUUGGCGUCUGCGAACGGAUAUGUCGAAAUAGCGAGGGAAUUGUUACAAUUAGAGCCCCGUGCAUGCCUUGUCCAUGACGAAGAUGGGAGGACCCCACUUCAUCUAGCCACGAUGAAGGGCCGAAGCAACAUCGUGAUAGAGCUGGUGAAGGCGAGACCGAGACGGCUGAGCACAGGCAAAGCCACGGCCAAACCGCUCUCCAUCUGGGAGUGAGUCAUAAUCAUUUGGAGACUCUGAAAGUCCUGGUGGAGACGGUGAGAGAUGGUGAUUUGGUGAAAGCUCAAGAUGAUGAGGGUAAUACCAUUUUGCAUUUGGCUGCAGCACACAAGCAAAUAGAGGUAAUCCUUUUUGUUUCGAAUUGCUUUGAAAUUGUGACGAUGUCAGAUAUUGCAUUCCAAUUGAACAUUUUGUGCAGAUAAAAUCCGGCUCAUUCUCAUUUUUCUAUAGACUCAAGCUUUCUGCAUUCAAACUUCAGUGGAUUUAUCGAUUGAAGUAACUUACAAGAAAUAUCUUUGUUUGUUGUUUCUUUUAUAAUUGAUAAGAAGCUCAUCCUUUUGUGCAGACGGUGAAAUAUCUGCUUCAAAGAAGCGAAGUGGAUGUGAACACACUGAAUAGAAAUGGAUUCUCUGCUCUGGAUAUAGUGGAAUACUUUCCAAAGGAUUUCAAAGUCAUUGAAUUGAGAGAACUGUUAGUACAUGCUGGAGCCCUGAGAGCCAUAAGAUUCCCUGCAUCGACAACUCACCAAGCAGUUGUUGAUAACACGAAUGAGGAGAAUUUAACUAUUGUAGUUGACCUAGCAUCUGUAGCACCUCCCUCCACCAAUACUCCUCCGGUAGAGUUGGUUCCGCCACCAUCUUUAUCGGGUGCAAUCAGGAAGCAGGAGGAAGACAAAAACAAGAAAUGGAUCAAGAAGAAGCGCGAUUCUCUUAUGAUAACUGCCACCGUGAUCGCAGCCAUGGCUUACCAAGCCGGCAUUAGCCCUCCCGGCGGCGUGUGGGACAACGAUCAGAGACACAACGGCACCAUCUUAUACUACGCAGGAACACCGAUAAUGGCUGCAAACGAUCCAGAGGGUUACCCGAUGUUCUGGACAUACAACACCAUCUCUUUUCUUGCAUCCCUUAGCACGAUCUUCUUGCUCAUCAGUGGCUUCCCCUUGGGGAAGAAGGUUCUGACGUGGAUUCUGAUGGCCACAAUGUGGGUGACCAUCAUU